rnacentral:rRNA from 1 species
GUAGGUGGCAAGCGUUGUCCGGAAUUAUUGGGCGUAAAGCGCGCGCAGGUGGUUCUUUAAGUCUGAUGUGAAAGCCCCCGGCUCAACCGGGGAGGGUCAUUGGAAACUGGGGAACUUGAGUGCAGGAGAGGAAAGUGGAAUUCCACGUGUAGCGGUGAAAUGCGUAGAUAUGUGGAGGAACACCAGUGGCGAAGGCGACUUUCUGGCCUGUAACUGACACUGAGGCGCGAAAGCGUGGGGAGCAAACAGGGAUUAGAUACCCUGGUAGUCCACGCCGUAAACAAUGAGUGCUAAGUGUUGGGGGGGUUUCCCGCCCCUCAGUGCUGCAGCUAACGCAUUAAGCACUCCGCCUGGGGAGUACGGUCGCAAGACUG